UACGUAGGCAGCGAGCGUUGUUCGGAAUUACUGGGCGUAAAGAGUGUGUAGGCGGUGCUCUAAGUUCGGUGUGAAAUCUCCUGGCUCAACUGGGAGGGUGCGCCGGAAACUGGAGUGCUUGAGCGUGGGAGAGGAAAGCGGAAUUCCUGGUGUAGCGGUGAAAUGCGUAGAUAUCAGGAGGAACACCUGUGGUGUAGACGGCUUUCUGGACCUAGCUGACGCUGAGACACGAAAGCGUGGGUAGCAAACAGG
rnacentral:rRNA from 1 species